rnacentral:lncRNA from 1 species
CGGAGGCGGCGCAGCAGCACUCGGCCCCGCCCACCCUCUGCAAUGGAGGCGCUCGCCCUGCUGACGCGGGCUGUGGAGACCUCGUAUGGGAUGGUGCCCAAUCGAUGAGGAGAAACACUAACUUUGCAAAGGGUUUUUUCAGAUGUUUGCAUUAUUCUUAUUGAUCCAAGGAGUGAUAGAUGCCCUGCUAAUAAAGUUGGUAAAAGAGGAGUUACUUCAGUAACGUUCCCACCUGUUAUUUUGGAUAACUCACAUCCAUUGGCAUGGAGGUUUCGCUGAAGGGUGAGGAGCAAAAUUCUCUUUGUUGGCAUCUGUAACCAGCAUCCCUUUUGGUUCACAUCAUGUUAUUAUUUUGAAUAUGAUCUUUGUGGUCUAGCCUAUGGAGUUAAAUGUAUGGACAUACUUUUUAAAAUAUAAAAUUAUUUCUUUCUCUUUAUAC